rnacentral:lncRNA from 1 species
GGGACUCAUUGUCAGGAAUUCCCAUAGUUUGACAAGUGUCCAGCGUGUGAGGAUGACAGUAGUUCAUUUUUCGUCGUCUUUAAAAAUAAAGCUCUUAUGAGGGGGAAGGUUUACUGACGGCCGUGAUUGGGUGACGUGAAAAAAGGCGGCAACUAAACUACUAUGUUUAAAUAAAGAGGUUUGUGUUGCUACGUAUUUUGAAUGAAGGAGUUGGGCAAAAAGCAACGUUUUUCCGGCGUCGCUAAGACCUGUAAGG